GCCCGGGUGGUGGAAUUGGUAGACACUACAGACUUAAAAUCUGUUGACCGAAUAGGUCGUGCCGGUUCAAGUCCGGCCCCGGGUA
rnacentral:tRNA from 1 species